GCACCAUGUAAACAUUGUUUCGCAUUGGUCAAUUUUUACUUCAGACGAUGACAUUGUUAUAGUUGGGUAAAUAGUCAAUCUGCACUUACGUAACGACGAAUCAUUGUUUCAGAGUAGUAAUAAUAUCCGAUGAAAUUAACCGAUUCGAUUUAAUGUCGGAACCGGUGAUACACGAGAUGAAAACUUUAUAUGACCGAGUAAAACAAACAUAAAGAAGAAAACUUGUUUAUUUCUGACGUUAUCAUGCCAGUUAUAAUACCGCUGCCAUUAUAGUUAGAGGUUUAACGCCAGCUGCUAUACUGUUAUUGUGCGAUACUCUGCUGACUCCAGAAGCGUGUAGUUUACUAGCUGUCACAUAGCGGGGUACAUAAGAAUUCGACGAAUCAGAGAAGAGCUCCCGCAGGUGGCUGUUCACCGACUUGUCCCUGAACCUGCUUUUUACAUAAUAGGCAAAGUUUUCAUCCCUGAAAAUUACUUUAAUUGGAAUAAAAAGCUGCGGCUUAG